rnacentral:rRNA from 1 species
GACGAACGCUGGCGGCGUGCCUAAUACAUGCAAGUAGAACGCUGAAGCUUGGUGCUUGCACCGAGCGGAUGAGUUGCGAACGGGUGAGUAACGCGUAGGUAACCUGCCUGGUAGCGGGGGAUAACUAUUUGAAACGAUAGCUAAUACCGCAUAACAGUAGAUAUCGCAUGAUAGCUACUUGAAAGGUGCAAAUGCACCACUACCAGAUGGACCUGCGUUGUAUUAGCUAGUUGGUGAGGUAACGGCUCACCAAGGCAACGAUACAUAGCCGACCUGAGAGGGUGAUCGGCCACACUGGGACUGAGACACGGCCCAGACUCCUACGGGAGGCAGCAGUAGGGAAUCUUCGGCAAUAGACGGAAGUCUGACCGAGCAACGCCGCGUGAGUGAAGAAGGGUUUCGGAUCGUAAAGCUCUGUUGUAAGAGAAGAACGAGUGUGAGAGUGGAAAGUUCACACUGUGACGGUAUCUUACCAGAAAGGGACGGCUAACUACGUG